GCCUCUCCUGUUCCAGGACUGUGUGGAACAGUUCUUUUAAAAGCCAGACCAUGGGCUUGGAAAUGACUUGAUCUUUACUGACCGAGUUGUAUAUUGAGCCUACCCUUUGCCCUUUUAAGGGGCACUGUGUGAAAUGGCCCGGGCUCCCCAGAUCGAAACUUCUUAUCUUCACCAUCCAGUCCUCGAGCUGCUGUGUGGCCUCCGAGCUCUGCGUCCAGUGCUCUCUCCCCACAGUGCCCCCAACUUACCCACAGCAGCUGACUCAGCCGCAGGCUGCCUCUAACAACCAUACACAAAAGCAGCGAGAAAUGAGCAUGCUGCCUUCUGGGCAGGACACUGCAUCCUGCAGAAGGGACCUUUAGGCUCACUCCUGCAUCUGGGAAGCCAGGCUGCCAGGGGACGGGGCAGCUGGUUGGACUCACCCUGUCCUCUUCCUGCUGCUACAUGGAGACAGCAGAGGGAGCCNNNNNNNNNNUACCAGGGAAAGGAACUUAGGCUUUCUUUAAAAAAAUCUCCUUAGUUUUAAUGUAUGUCUUUUUAAGAUUGAUAAUGUCAUUUGAAGUAAAAUAAUGUCAUAUGAAUAAUGUCAUAUGGAAGAGGGGAGGGAGACGAGAAUAUGGAGGAAGCAGACACUGAAUUCAGAUUUGCACCUGAGGUGGCAAGGGAGGAAAGGAGAAAAGGUACAGGUAAAGUUGAUCCUAAAGCGACAAGUGGUUUAAGGAAGCAGCAUUUAUACUCAGCAAACAUUCACUGAUUUUUGAUGGGAAAAGAACAGUUGCCAGUACAUCUCCUGUAACAACCUUUUCUAAAACGAAAAGUAGGGUUGAUUCAGCAAAGCCUAACUUAGGCAAAAGGCCAGAGGAAUGUGAACCUACUUCCCAAUGGAGUAAUAGGAUGUACAAUGUAAGAGCAGACAAAGCUGCCUCACAAAUGGUAAACACUCCCUAGGCACAAGACAUUUAAAGGAAGAUGAAGAGGUCCUCAGCCUCAACUGGUAUUUCCUAUUUAGACCUCUUAAUCUAGUUGCCUAGCUCACUCUGUACUCCUGUAUAAAACUGACAGAUUUACAGAUGCUGACCUAUUGAAAAAUACCACAGCCAGAAUGGCCUAAACAUGUAUAUAGUUAAUAAAACCACCACCAUCCUUUACUUUUAACA
rnacentral:lncRNA from 1 species